rnacentral:rRNA from 1 species
GACGAACGCUGGCGGCGUGCUUAACACAUGCAAGUCGAACGGAAAGGCCCUGCUUGCAGGGUACUCGAGUGGCGAACGGGUGAGUAACACGUGGGUGAUCUGCCCUGCACUUCGGGAUAAGCCUGGGAAACUGGGUCUAAUACCGGAUAGGAGCCAUUUUUAGUGUGAUGGUUGGAAAGUUUUUUUCGGUGUAGGAUGAGCUCGCGGCCUAUCAGCUUGUUGGUGGGGUAAUGGCCUACCAAGGCGGCGACGGGUAGCCGGCCUGAGAGGGUGGACGGCCACAUUGGGACUGAGAUACGGCCCAGACUCCUACGGGAGGCAGCAGUGGGGAAUAUUGCACAAUGGGCGCAAGCCUGAUGCAGCGACGCCGCGUGGGGGAUGACGGCCUUCGGGUUGUAAACUCCUUUCGCUAGGGACGAAGCUUUUUGUGACGGUACCUAGAUAAGAAGCACCGGCUAACUACGUG